UACGGAGGGUGCAAGCGUUGUUCGGAAUCAUUGGGCGUAAAGCGCGUGUAGGCGGCUUGGCAAGUCAGUUGUGAAAGCCCGGGGCCCAACCCCGGAAUUGCAUCUGAAACUGCCUGGCUGGAGUCCCGGAGAGGAAGGCAGGAUUCCCGGUGUAGGGGUGAAAUCCGUAGAUAUCGGGAGGAAUACCAGCGGCGAAGGCGGCCUUCUGGACGGUGACUGACGCUGAGACGCGAAAGCGUGGGGAGCAAACAGG
rnacentral:rRNA from 1 species